CGUAUUGAUCACCGUCGCAACACCAUACACAACAGCACCAGAAGUAAGCCUCGUCGUACACACACACGUCCGGACACGCUCACACAUGCACACACACGCACAAACACAAACACGGCCGAACCGUGUGUAAAAACGUUUAUGUAUAGAUCGACCUGAGCGAGGGUGCGCGCGCAUGCGACCAGUAAACAGUAGAGUUGUGCAUUGAGCAGUGAUCAUUUCGGAAUAAGGAAUAUAAAUAUAAUAAUAAUAUAUAUUAUAUGUAAUAAUAUUAUACAACAGUAUAACGCUUAUUGCGUAUAUAUAUAUAUAUAUUUAACUCGGAGUAAUGUAAAAUGUAAAUAAAAUGUUAUUACUUAUAAUCAAACGGCAUUGCGUGUUUAUUUAUUUUAUUUUAUUCUUUUAUUUUCCGUUUAGAUAACGAUUUUUUAUUGUCCGCUAGACAAAUAGACAAUGAAACAUUGCAUUCGGUUAUGAUAAUAAUAUUGUGUGCAUUAUGUUUUUUAUGUCGUCCGCGUUGCGUCUUGCACUCGUCUCCAAUAAACGCAUCAUAAUUUUACAUAGUAUACGUAUUUUGUCGUUUGACUUUUCCACCGUUUUAUAUACUACCUGACGCAUAAACGCACGAAAUCAUUUUUUCCUCGACAGUGCGCGAUUUAUUAUUAAGGUUUCCAUGGCGACCUACGCGCCUUAUUCCGAGCGCUAAACGUAUUUCCGUGUUGGACUUUGGAGAAAACGCGAUAGUUUUCCCUAUGUGUGAUCAUUUAUCAUAAUUUAUAUAGCAAAAGUUGUUUUUCUUUCCGAAAAUAUUUCGCAGUGAUGAAUCUGUACUUUUAAGUUUUAUUCGAAACCCGCAACACAUAUUUGUUAUUAUUAGAUACAUUAAAAUAUCAACGUCAUCGUUGUAUAGAUUGACACAAUAAAUAAUAAUAUACAUCAUUCGUAUUUUGCUUCAUAUAGGCAUCGCGUUUAUAAGGAGUAACCGAGUAAGGACAAUAGCUAUUAUCGCAGACCAGUAGUUGAAUUAUAAGUCGCGUAUGGUGAACAAUAAUUCAUGAAGUCGAGAAAUUAAUUGCGAGGGUGGCCACGGGAAUCAGCGUCGGGGAGUGCAAUGCCCUCGCGCGUGGAGCUUUUCUGCCUUUGUGUAGGUGUAUCCCGGCCAACGUAUCGACUGCUGUUAAUUUGUCAACUCGAACGUUGCGCUGUUCGUAUACAUAUAACGAGUUGGUAGGUUCAAAUGUUCAUAGUUUAUUGGUAAUUAAAAAAAAUUACGAUCUACAGAUAAAAGAAGUCAAGUCAAAAAUUAUAACACUACGCAAAAAAUGUAACAACAUUUUUCUAAAAAGAAUUGCAACAUUACGUGCAAUUUUAUUCCGUAUAUAGAGGUGUUAAGUGCAAGAUUGAAAACGAUAAUCGUUACGGACCUUGAACAAAUUAAACAUAUAAUAAAUUAAUAUUACAAAAUAUGAUACGUACAAUAAAUUAAUAACUAACAAGAAAGUUUUGAUCAAUACAGUGUUACGUGAUAACU